UUUUUUUUUUUUUAAUGGGUACAUUGCUCACAUUCUCUCUCUCUCUUUUUUUUUAAUGAAUCAGUUCUGCCUUUUACUUCCUUUAACCCGUAAUCUAAUCUACCACUGUGCUUUUGCUUUUUUUAACAUAAUUCUUCUCUUCCAUCUUCCUUUUUUUGUCAUUCUAUUGACUUCUCUUCUUAACCUGUUUGGUUUUAUAGAUUUUUUUUUUUUUUUAAUCCACACCUGUGGCAUGCAGAAGUUCCUGGGUUCAGGAAUCAAACCCGUGCCACAGCAGUGACAAUGCUGGAUCCUUUGACAACAGAGCCACAAAGGAACUCGUGGUUGUAUGGAUUUAAAGGCUGGAUCUUCUUAUGCUCCACAGAGGAUGGCACCCAUGGCACGUGAUUGCCCAGAUUUUCUUCUGGAUCUUUGGGUGAGAAGUAUGGAUUUCCUCUCUAUUCUCAGGACGCUCUGUCAUUUUGCUUUUUCAGCCCUUCACCCUUCCACGAAUCCAUUUAUUUUUCUCUGUGUUCAUCUCUGGUUAAGGUGAGAUCCAGACGCGAGGUCUGGCAACAUGCUGGGGAAGUCCACGGUCCCGCUCUCUGUCCGCCUGUGAGACGGGGGCGGGGAGGGCAAAGUGGAGGAAGGCUGGGUGAUGCCCAGCCCAGUUUCCCGUUUGCCCACCCACCUGGGGACCUGGAGGCCUCCUCCUCCUGGCCUCUCCCCAGCGGAGUUAGCAGGUUGCUAUGCAACUGGGUUCCUCAGUUUCCACCCGCACACAGUGCCCCUCCCAGGAUGCACUGCGCCUCCACGAGCAGCCCUCACUGCCUGGGGGGCUUGAGCGUCCGUGUGGGACAUCCGCCUGGACACUAGGACCACUCAGCAGCGGCGCGGCAGCCCUCCUGACUCAGACAGGAGGUCUUGGUGCUGGUGCCGCGGAUCCGCUUUCUCCCCUCCCCCGCUCCCUUCCCCCCUGUCUACGUCUUCCCAGAAAUUUUAACACGGAGACAGGAGCAGCUGCCCUUUUAAAUUGGUAAUCAUGUUCCGAUGAGCAUCUCUGGUCCCCUCCCUGCCUCAAAUUUGUUUUUUCCCCUAAUCCAUUCCUGUCACAAGCUUGGGCUUAAGUGGGCUUUAGAGAAGGAGCGAGGCACAGAAGGGACAUGGGAGGCUGAGCUGCAGAAGGAGGGCCAGGCGGGGCUGUGCGUCUUCCCACCCAGCCUCACACCCCACCGGGUGCUCUUGAUGUGUUGGUAUUUCUGGCUUACAGGAGCCAGCCAUUUCCUGGGGGCCAGCAGUCCCUGAAUUCAAUCGUCUCCCUUCUGCGUUGGGAGAAAACCAAGCCAUUAAGAAGAGCCCUUCGCACUGGACCCCUCCCCCCAGAGCCAGGCUGUUAAUCUUGCUGUGGCAUCCGGGCCAAUUCCUGCAUCUUCGGACUCACCUGGACCCUCCAGCUACCCUCUAAUGGGCCCGCUCACUACUCUCGGUAAAAUAUUCAGUGCUUCCCAGGGGCUGCCUGCAACCUGGACACCCCGAAGCCCUCCUCCAGGCCCCUCCUCCCUGGGUCACGGACUGUGACAAAGUCUUAUUGCCUGUCUCUGGGAAUUCAUUUCCUGUCUCUCCUCUGUUCCACCUCUCUGGGGCUCCCGGGCCCUCCCCACCCCCGCAGCACUGGGCCCCCUCAUGUUUGCCAGGCAGCUGGCUGCCUUCAUUAUUUUUACGCCAACACAGUUUAAAAAUCUCCGCUGCCUCCUUGCUGUCUGCGGAGAAGCGGCUGCCACAUUACUCUGACACGCUGAUGUCAUUAGCGCCCAGGCACGCUCUCUUCAGCUAAUGAGGCGGCAGAAAGAAAAUUAAGGGGGAAAAAAAUCACACGGGCGCGUUGCUUUAUAUGUAGAUGGAGAAAAAAGGCCAGAGCAAGGAAAAGGGAGCGAGGUUUCCGAGAGCGCGCCUCCCCUCCCACGGGGCACGGUGCACCCGCUGCCCAGUCGGGGAGCCCGGACACGGAGCCCUGGCUUUUGGCCUAUUGCUACCCCAUGAGUCCGGGAAACAGCUGAGAGAUGGGAGUGUGAGGUCACAUUGCCUAAUUCCGUAACGAGGUAAAAAGAAAACACAAAAACUUUAGGUCCAUGUUUUCAGCUCGGUCAGGGCCCAGACGGUGAGGCAAGACUGGAGAUGUGCACGUGGUUCUAGAAUCCUUCUCACCAACCACCUCCAUUUCUCUUUUCCAGUUACCUGGAUCCCGCACCUGGACUGCAUGACCGGCCCUUUAUGCCAGCGUGUUCUCCACCCCUGAGCACAGAAGUCACCUGCCCAGUUGCCACUGGAUUAUGUCACCUCUCAAAGUGAUGUAAUCGAUUCGCAUUGUUCUUAAGACAAAGGCUUAAACGUUUAACCAGAGCCCUCCCAGAACCCAGCUCAGCUGGCUCCCUCUUGCUGUCUCUUCUCCAGCUACUCCGGCAUCCUCCCCCGCGUCCCCUGCCCCCACAGGCCGCAUUGCUCCUUCUGCCCCAGGACAUUGGCCUGUGCUGUUCCUUCUGCCUGGAAUGGCUUUCCCUCCCCUCAUCACAUAGCUAAGUCUGUAGUCCUCAGAUAUGGGGUCACUCUAUAAGAGCUUGAGGGAGCCUUGGACACACAACCUCUCCCUCCCCUGCCCAGCCAGGUCUGGCCCCUCUUUGCCACUCCCAAGGUUUGGAGGGCCUUGGCUUUGCAGCUUUUCACACCACGGCAGUUUCCCAGUGGUGUGUGUGUGGUUGUCCAAGUCGAGGCCACCUCACCCACAUGACCAGCAGCUCCCGGAGGGCAGGAAAAACCCUGGCUCCCAUUCAAUAGUGCAACUCCAGCAUCCAGCACAGCCGGUCCCUAGAAACAUUUGCUGAAUGAAUGAAUGUUUACAGGAUGCCUGUGGGGGAGAGCUUUCAUCAUGUCCCCAACUCGGUCCGGGCUUAUGAUGGCCCGGGGGAGGCACAGAAGGAGCAAGGAAGGUGAGCAAGGCCCUUUAUCCCCAACAAGCCUCUAACCCCAAAAGUCAACUGGCAGCAACCAGUCUGGAUCCACACUCGUGUGUGUUUCUCUGCCUUCCUGCCUGCUCUCCUCCAGGCGGGGCCCCAUCUGGCCUGACAACUUCCAGAAUUCCAGCCUGGCAGCAGCCCGAUCCCGCGCCUGCACCUGCCCUCGCACCCCAUCCCCGACUCUGGUGUUAACUAGCGGUCAGCCGGGCAGAAAGGCCUGGCAUUGUCAACAUGCUUGCUUCCCAAGCCGUGACACCGCUUUGAUGUUCGCGGCAGCGCAGUGCGCACGGCUCCGAUGGAUGCUUCCAGUCCGCCUGCCGCGGAGACGGGGCCUUUGUCUGGGCACGGGAGAACUGUGAUUUAUGUCAUGGGCUCGCUGUGAAACCUUUUGCCUCAGUAAUUCUGAGCUCCGUGGGUGUCUCUUUACAUCUAUUUAAAGCACGGCUGCUGCCCACGGCCUGCGUGCUCUGUGACACUCCCUGUGCCUCUGUGUGCGCCUUGCCGUGGCGCUGAGUCUUGCCUGCACUGCAUCUUUGUGGCUCCUUUCAGCGUGUUUGCUGCGCACUCAACGGGACUGCUGAGCCGAGUCGGGUCGGCCCUUUGAUGUCCGGUGUGUUGAUGAGACCCCCUUCCCUGGCGGAGCACUCGCAGGGGGCCUGGGUGGAAGAGGAUGCUGCCGCCAGAUUUCCAGAGUGUUCGCGCUGGGUUGUCCCGAGGCGAGGCCACAGCAUGACCGGCACUGGAACGUUCGCUCUGAGGACGCCCAGGGCGGUGGCAAACGUGUUCCUGUUUGCGGUCUGCACCGGGGACCACUCUCUCGUGGGGCGCUCCCUCCAAGUGUGGGAGACUUUGGCGCAAAGAGAUCGGAUGCCCACUUCCAAAGAUUUAACUGCAGCUCCGCGCCCUGCAGUUGCUGGAAUCCCUCUCCUUCACUCAUUCAACAAACAUGGACUGAAGGUCCGCAGGUGCCUCCCCGUGCUGUGCGCGGCGGGGAGGCAAGGCUGCUUCGUGAACGCCUCAAAAGUAUAAACGAUUGCUCCGCGAAACUCCAAUUCCUUCCACAACGGUGUGGAAUUGCAGGGAGAGAGUCAUCAUUACUGCCGGAAACCCAGCACGUCUUGGGUCCUGUGCCCCCCACCCCCAUGCCAUGACAGCCCCCAAACUCGAACCCAUCCUCACCCUCCACCCACUGACGCCCAUUCCUGUGCGGUUGACAUUGGAUGCCCUGAGGGGAUCUCAGCACAGGGCCCCUGGAGACCCACACUGGGUCUUAACUCCAGGUCAAGGGGGGAGGUGAUUCUUACAGCCCUGCAGACAGAGGUGCGGCCCUGGAGGAUGAUGGGUGAGGGGCCGCACCCAGGACAGGGAAGUCUGGACAGAGGUCAAACGGAAUGACUUGAGGCUAACAAAGGAUUAUGACUAGUCACCACGGAAAUAAAUUGGCUUUAUUUUUUCUCUAAAAGAAUCUGGACCGGGUGUUUUUCAUUUGUAAAGUCUUUGCUGUUUUGUUUGUUUCUGCUUCAUUCUUUACAGUUUUCUACCAUGAGGGUUGAAGGGUCCAUCUUGUUUUAAUGAAGAAAUGGUGUGAAUUGGAGGGGUUUGUUUCCAUUUUAUCGGUUGAUCAACUAAUAAGCCUGUAAUCUUGCGAAGUGUCAAAAUGUAGAUUAUGAAUAAAAAGGUGUUACAGAAUAUAAACCUGCUGGCGUGGUUUCCCUUUCGAGAGUCCAUGACAUUGAAAUCACUACAUGAGGAGAGUGGAGUGCCAGGACAGAGUUACUGGAUGGUAGUGUGAGAAUUGGCAUCAGAAAGUUGUUAUGUUGAUCAAAUAAAGAAGUACCCAGGGAGCUGUCUGGGUGGAGUUUCC
rnacentral:lncRNA from 1 species